rnacentral:rRNA from 1 species
GCAGAGCAUCCUACGGGAGGCAGCAGUGGGGAAUAUUGCACAAUGGGCGCAAGCCUGAUGCAGCCAUGCCGCGUGUAUGAAGAAGGCCUUCGGGUUGUAAAGUACUUUCAGCAGUGAGGAAGGUGGGUAUGUUAAUAGCAUAUUCAUUUGACGUUUAGCUGCAGAAGAAGCACCGGCUAACUCCGUGCCAGCAGCCGCGGUAAUACGGGGGGUGCGAGCGUUAAUCGGAAUUACUGGGCGUAAAGCGCAUGCAGGUGGUUUGUUAAGUCAGAUGUGAAAGCCCGGGGCUCAACCUCGGAAUUGCAUUUGAAACUGGCAAACUAGAGUACUGUAGAGGGGGUAGAAUUUCAGGUGUAGCGGUGAAAUGCGUAGAGAUCUGAAGGAAUACCGGUGGCGAAGGCGGCCCCCUGGACAGAUACUGACACUCAGAUGCGAAAGCGUGGGGAGCAAACAGGAUUAGAUACCCUGGUAG